UCCGUAGGCGGGAAUCUAAGUCAGUGGUGAAAUCUUACAGCUCAACUGUAAAAUUGCCGUUGAUACUGGAUUUCUUGAAUUAAUGUGAAGUGGUUAGAAUGUGUAGUGUAGCGGUGAAAUGCAUAGAUAUUACACAGAAUACCAAUUGCGAAGGCAGAUCACUAACAUUAUAUUGACGCUGAGGGACGAAAGCGUGGGGAGCGAACAGGAUUAGAUACCCUGGUAGUCC
rnacentral:rRNA from 1 species